UGAUUUUCCUUUUUAGGUCUGUUUAGGUUAUGUAUUUUAAGAGACUCUGGGUAUGGAAUUUUUGUACUGAAGUAAUAAUUUCUGCUGGAUGAAGAUGCAUCGAUCACUCAUAUCUCUUUGUAGGAUGCAGUUAAUUGAAGGCGAAAUGAACCAAGAAAUAAUUUCUUAUGAUGAAGGAUGCUUCCCCAAUGAUGAAAUGAUGUUAAUCCCAGUAAUUUGGAUUCUUUGCACUUGGUAGGCCAUGAGAAUGAGCAGAGUGCCCUCUUUGCUACGAUGGUUCUGCAGUUCUUCUACAAAGAGAAUUAUUACUGCAAAAGACCAUUCUUCAGUUCAGCUUAACAUUGGUCAUAUUGAUGACAGUGGUAUCUAUACUAGACAUUUAUCCACUUUUUCCCUUAGUGGUUUCGUUCGUUGCCCAGCCUAAUCCCUCACGGUGCUUUUGAUUCCUUCCAUGAUGUUAUUAGAGUAUGAGUACUCCAUCAAGAUCCCAAUGAUGAAUGAUCAGAGAGG